rnacentral:lncRNA from 1 species
CCAGGGAUGCAAAACCUAUAGCCCCAGGGUCCCUUAAAUAAUGCCAAAAGAGUCCCAGAUUGCGGCCCGGUCCAAAAGAAUCAAAUCAGAGCAGAAACAGGGCUCGAUACACGUCAUAUCUCGCUCAAGUGUCGUAGGGAGCUCGCCCGGGCGUGAAUUGAGGGUUCUGUAAGGCUUGGGCGCCAGUUUUGGAUGCUUGGGCUAUGAACGUCUAUCGCCUGGGUGCCGGGUCCGUCGCCCAGGCGACCAGCGGUGAUUUCUUCUCGCAAAUGUUGUGCUUCUGUCGCCUGGUGCUCGCCUGGGCUUCUGGUUUUCUCCCUUCUUGGUGCCUUUUUGACCCCUUUUGAUCUCCAACUUCAUGGCUUUUCACUUCUUCUUCCAUUAUUGCUUCAAUUUCUGUUAUAACAAGGGGAAUUUGUUAGAAAACAGUUAAAAUUAACCUCAACUCUCUUAUUCACACAAUUUACUGAAAACAUACGAGUUCAAGCAAGUUUCUAA